ensembl:ncRNA lncRNA:CR45018 long non-coding RNA:CR45018
CGGCAGAGGCAACGGCGUUCAGUUAUCAGCGGACAGCGGAGCAGAUUGGAGCUAGUGCCCGAGCCAGAGCCAGAACCAAAGUAGCAGCUACAGUCAGAGCUAGAGCAAACCCAAUUGCGGCCACAUCCAAUCAGCGAAGUGACAUUGGUUAUCCAUGUGAGGUGGCAUCCAUCUCCGAGUUGGCCCUACGCAAGGCGCAGUUGAAAGCGCAAUUUUUCGGCAAUCAAGUGGGUGGAUUAGCCCGCGAUAGCGAGACAAGCAGCACCACUAGAAUCACUCGCACCACCAACUACCGCAGUGCUUAUCCCAGCUGCAAGACGGAACGAGGCAAGCCGGUGCAACAGCUAAUCGAUCAGUUCCAGGCCAUGAUUGUCCAGCAGCAGCAGCAGCAGCAGCUGAGCAACGAGGGCGAGCCCAAGACACUGCCCGGAGCCACUGCAUCCAAUUCGGAUGAGGGCUGUAAUGUCACCGGCGGCGGACUGAGUCCCUAUAGCAGCGACAACGAGGAUAACAGCCUAUCGCCGAGGCAGCGCAAAAUGAAGGUCACACGCUGUGCCAGUAGUGAUUCCGCCCUGGGUCUGGACGUGGACGAUGGCGGCAUGGAUGUGCCGUUGCCGCCACAACGUCGGAUGACACUGACCGUAACGGAUUUACCCCUGCGACCGGCCCUACUGCCACUGGCCGAACCCACAGCCCUGCCAGAUUCGCCACUGACAUCGCCCACCGGCGGUGGCAAUCCGAGCGUGGGUGUGCCCACCAAGGUGCUGCUCGAGGAGCGAGUGGUAGCCGCACCGGGAUCGCGACGUGAAUCCACCCAGAGCUCGUACAGCGAACUGGGCGUCAGUGGACUGCCGCUGGGCGUGCGCUAUGUGCGCACACCAUCCGUCGUGGUUAGCGACUAUUCGGAUGACAUAACCGCCUGCGGCAUUAGCAUGGAGGAAAUGGAAUACUUUCGUCUGCAGCGGGCGCGUGGUCAGCGGCGUUGUUCCCUGGAGGCGGGACAUCACAGUCAUAGCGGUGGACAUGGCGCACAUGGACACGGUGGAUCGGGAGCGGCGGGAAUGUCGCCGGGAUGUGGCAAGGACGAUGGCCAAUCGGAUGUCAGUGCAGCAAGCAGUUGCAGCAAUCUCUACUAUUGUGGAUCCACCAUUUCUGCCCUCGAUGGUGGCGAGUGCAUCGUGAAUGGAGUUCGAGUUGCGCUCGCCAGGAAGAGCAGCACCCAGAGCAGCAGUCUCAGCGACGAGGAGGAGGAGGAGGAGGAUGACGACGAGGAUCGCGAUGAGCAGGAUCGCGAUGAGGAUGAUCGCGAUGCGGAGGAGAUGCUUCAGGAGGAUUACGAGCGGGGGGAUCGCGAACGUGAGAGGGAGCGGCAGAUCAGCGAACUAAUGGCCGCCACGCAGCUUGGUGAUCGUCAGCGGGAUCGAUCCAAGAAGGUAGGCGCCCGCGAUGACGUCACAAACCAGGGAAAUCUCAAACUAGACUAAAGAAUUCGGGUUGGCAAAACGGACAAGUAACAAAGUGGAGCAGCCUAGUAAAUUUAAUAUUAAACACUAUUUUUUUUUUUUCGUUUUUAAAUAUCAUUAAUGAUUGUUUGUGUUGUUGUUAUCGAAAGCAUAAAAGAGCAGUGAAUGAGGGCAGGUCUGAAUGGCAGCGAAAGAGAUAAGCAAGUUGGUGCAUAUACACAGGGAGAAACGGGUGCUACGCGUAGAUGAAAUGUGGCAUAAUUAAAAAAAAAAAAAAACAAUCUAUUUUGCUCUAGAGCAGUAUUAUACCGUUUAGUUUAUCAACUGCAAGACCAUUAUAACUAUAGAAAAAGACUAUAAUAAUAAGACUUUUACAAUACGCAUAUCUAUUAAAU